UGCAUGUGAGAAAGCUCACUGUGAAGAUAAUGUUAGCAGUCAACUGCAGUAACUUAAGAAAAAGAUGAGCUGGCUUCCUCAGAAAGACAGACCUGGAGGUUGGCCAAGAAUAAACCUGGAAUUAUUGCUCACUAUGAAGCUUAUGGCUGUGAUGUCCCGAUUGUCCAUACCUGUCAUCAACUUCCACAUGCUGUAGCAUCGUGGGAUGUCCCUGGGACUCGGGGCUGCAGAGACCAGCUGACACAUGCUUGUUCACCUGAAGACAGCCGCGUGACAUGACGGACUCUCGGGCUGUGUGUGUGUGUGUGUGUGUGUGUGUGUGUGUGUGUGUGGUUUCCCCAUGUUGGGCUGUGGUUGCUGAGAUGCUGAGAUGAUGGGGAGCUUCCUGAGUAGACAAGGUGGCCCCAGGUUGCAUUUGGUGCAUCUCUAUCUCUUCCGGAGUGUGUGUUUGUUGUGAAUACCAUCCUUAUUUCUGAAAAAGAAUAAUGCCAGCUACACUGUGACCUGGGAAGACUUAUUAUGUCGUGUGAAGGGAGGUGGGAAGGCAGCUCGGAGUUGAUUUAGAACCUUUGCUCUUUACUUUGCCACCACUAUGGUCCCUUCGGAGCUUGGGCCCAACAGAAGGCCGAUGUGGGCAGCAUGAUUGACUCUUGCUGAGCGAGUGUCAAGCACGUGCACCUCCAGUUGCCAGACCCCAUGGGACAGAGCUGCUCCGUCACCCACAUGAGAUGUUGCGCAGAGAUUAGGUGUGGACUCCACUGCACUGGAAAGGAAUUCCUAAAAUUUUGAAAGUGGAGGUUCUUUUUGUUACUUAAGGUUUGUAAAGUUGCAUAACUAUUUGAGAAAAAAAAAUUUAGAGCUUCACCUCCCAGCAUAUAUGUAAAAUCACCUCUCCAUCACCAUGCCGCUUUAUUAGUUGCUUUGUGUCCUAACCUAAUAUGGGCUAGGGCAAUUCCCCAUUUUUAUUCUUUUACAAAAAAUGUCUACAUUUUAUUAUCUCUGUGUUUGUGUUGGUUAAUUUUAGAACCUGUUCUUAUGUUUAAAAAAAUCCCAUUUGGAAUUACAUUAAGCCCAUACAUAACAUUA